UACGGGGGGGGCAAGCGUUGUUCGGAAUUACUGGGCGUAAAGGGCUCGUAGGCGGCCAACUAAGUCGGGGGUGAAAUCCCGAGGCUCAACCUCGGAACUGCCUUCGAUACUGGCGACCUUCGAGUCCGGGAGAGAUGAGUGGAACUCCGAGUGUAGAGGUGAAAUUCGUAGAUAUUCGGAAGAACACCAGUGGCGAAGGCGGCUCACUGGCCCGGUACUGACGCUGAGAUACGAAAGCGUGGGGAGCAAACAGG
rnacentral:rRNA from 1 species